rnacentral:rRNA from 1 species
AACGUAGGAGACAAACGUUAUCCGGAGUUACUGGGCGUAAAGGGCGUGUAGGUGGUUUCGUAAGUCUGGCGUGAAAUUUCUCGGCUUAACCGAGGCAGGUCGUCGGAUACUGCGGAACUUGAGGACGGUAGAGGCGUGUGGAAUUCCGGGUGUAGUGGUGAAAUGCGUAGAGAUCCGGAAGAACACCGGUGGCGAAGGCGGCCUUCUGGACAGUGACUGACGCUGAGACGCGAAAGCGUGGGGAGCAAACAGG